rnacentral:rRNA from 1 species
CGCGUAGGCGGACAGUUUAGUCAGAGGUGAAAGCCCAGGGCUCAACCUUGGAAUUGCCUUUGAUACUGGCUGUCUUGAGUACGGGAGAGGUGAGUGGAACUCCGAGUGUAGAGGUGAAAUUCGUAGAUAUUCGGAAGAACACCAGUGGCGAAGGCGACUCACUGGCCCGUUACUGACGCUGAGGCGCGAAGGCGUGGGGAGCAAACA